rnacentral:rRNA from 1 species
UACGUAGGUAGCGAGCGUUGUUCGGAAUUACUGGGCGUAAAGAGUGUGUAGGCGGUGUUCCCAGUCUGUUGUGAAAUCUCCCGGCUUAACUGGGAGGGUGCAGCGGAAACUAGAAUGCUAGAGGGUGGGAGAGGUAAGCGGAAUUCCUGGUGUAGCGGUGAAAUGCGUAGAUAUCAGGAGGAACACCUGUGGUGUAGACAGCUUACUGGACCGCUUCUGACGCUGAGACACGAAAGCGUGGGUAGCAAACAGG